rnacentral:rRNA from 1 species
UACAGAGGGGGCAAGCGUUGUUCGGAAUUACUGGGCGUAAAGGGCGCGUAGGCGGCCUUCUAAGUCGAACGUGAAAUCCCCGGGCUCAACCCGGGAACUGCGUCCGAUACUGGAAGGCUUGAAUCCGGGAGAGGGAUGCGGAAUUCCAGGUGUAGCGGUGAAAUGCGUAGAUAUCUGCAGGAACACCCGUGGCGAAAGCGGCGCGCUGGACCACUACUGACGCUGAGGAACGAAAGCUAGGGGAGCAAACAGG